rnacentral:rRNA from 1 species
GGACGACGCUGGCGGCGUGCUUAACACAUGCAAGUCGAACGGUAAGGCCCUUCGGGGGUACACGGAGUGGCGAACGGGUGAGUAACACGUGGGUGAUCUGCCCUGCACUUCGGGAUAAGCCUGGGAAACUGGGUCUAAUACCGGAUAGGACCAUGGACUUCACGGUUUGUGGUGGAAAGCUUUUGCGGUGUGGGAUGGGCCCGCGGCCUAUCAGCUUGUUGGUGGGGUAAUGGCCUACCAAGGGCGACGACGGGUAGCCGGCCUGAGAGGGUGUCCGGCCACACUGGGACUGAGAUACGGCCCAGACUCCUACGGGAGGCAGCAGUGGGGAAUAUUGCACAAUGGGCGCAAGCCUGAUGCAGCGACGCCGCGUGAGGGAUGACGGCCUUCGGGUUGUAAACCUCUUUCAAUAGGGACGAAGCGCAAGUGACGGUACCUAUAGAAGAAGCACCGGCCAACUACGUG